UACAUGGGGUGCAAACGUUGCUCGGAAUCAUUGGGCGUAAAGCGCGCGUAGGCGGUUGCUUAAGUCGGAUGUGAAAGCCCUCGGCUUAACUGAGGAAGUGCAUCCGAAACUGAGCAGCUAGAGUACGAAAGAGGGUCGCGGAAUUCCCGGUGUAGAGAUGAAAUUCGUAGAUAUCGGGAGGAACACCGGUGGCGAAGGCGGCGCUCUGGAACAUUUCUGACGCUGAGGCUCGAAAGCGUGGGGAGCAAACAGG
rnacentral:rRNA from 1 species